UGGGGAAUCUUGGACAAUGGGCGCAAGCCUGAUCCAGCCAUGCCGCGUGAGUGAAGAAGGCCUUCGGGUUGUAAAGCUCUUUUUGUCAGGGAAGAAACGGUGAGAGCUAAUAUCUCUUGCUAAUGACGGUACCUGAAGAAUAAGCACCGGCUAACUACGUGCCAGCAGCCGCGGUAAUACGUAGGGUGCGAGCGUUAAUCGGAAUUACUGGGCGUAAAGCGUGCGCAGGCGGUUUGGUAAGACAGAUGUGAAAUCCCCGGGCUUAACCUGGGAACUGCAUUUGUGACUGCCAGACUAGAGUGUAGCAGAGGGGGGUAGAAUUCCACGUGUAGCAGUGAAAUGCGUAGAUAUGUGGAGGAAUACCGAUGGCGAAGGCAGCCCCCUGGGCUAACACUGACGCUCAUGCACGAAAGCGUGGGGAGCAAACAGGAUUAGAUACCCCAGUAGUCCCUGAGCGGGCUGGCAAGGCGCAU
rnacentral:rRNA from 1 species